rnacentral:tRNA from 1 species
GAGGGUAUAGUGCAGUAGUAGAGUGCAUGCUUAGCAUUCACGAGGUCCUGGGUUCAAUCCCCAGUACCUCCA